GACGAACGCUGGCGGCGUGCUUAACACAUGCAAGUCGAACGGAAGGGCCCUGCUUUUGUGGGGUGCUCGAGUGGCGAACGGGUGAGUAACACGUGAGUAACCUGCCCUUGACUUUGGGAUAACUUCAGGAAACUGGGGCUAAUACCGGAUAGGCGCUCCUGCUGCAUGGUGGGGGUUGGAAAGUUUCGGCGGUUGGGGAUGGACUCGCGGCUUAUCAGCUUGUUGGUGGGGUAGUGGCUUACCAAGGCUUUGACGGGUAGCCGGCCUGAGAGGGUGACCGGCCACAUUGGGACUGAGAUACGGCCCAGACUCCUACGGGAGGCAGCAGUGGGGAAUAUUGCACAAUGGGCGGAAGCCUGAUGCAGCAACGCCGCGUGCGGGAUGACGGCCUUCGGGUUGUAAACCGCUUUCGCCUGUGACGAAGCGUGAGUGACGGUAAUGGGUAAAGAAGCACCGGCUAACUACGUG
rnacentral:rRNA from 1 species